AUACGGAGGGUGCAAGCGUUAUCCGGAAUCAUUGGGUUUAAAGGGUCCGUAGGCGGACUAAUAAGUCAGGGGUGAAAUCCCACAGCUUAACUGUGGAACUGCCCUUGAUACUGUUAGUCUUGAGUUAUAUGGAAGUAGAUAGAAUGUGUAGUGUAGCGGUGAAAUGCUUAGAGAUUACACAGAAUACCGAUUGCGAAGGCAGUCUACUACAUAUAUACUGACGCUAAUGGACGAAAGCGUGGGGAGCGAACAGGAUUAGAAACCCUAGUAGUCC
rnacentral:rRNA from 1 species